UACGUAGGGGGCAAGCGUUGUCCGGAUUCAUUGGGCGUAAAGAGCGUGUAGGCGGCCAGGUAGGUCGGUUGUGAAAACUGGAGGCUCAACCUUCAGAGGUCGACCGAAACCAUCUGGCUAGAGUCCGGGAGAGGAAAGUGGAAUUCCUGGUGUAGCGGUGAAAUGCGCAGAUAUCAGGAAGAACACCCGUGGCGAAAGCGGCUCUCUGGAACGGUACUGACGCUGAGACGCGAAAGCGUGGGGAGCGAACAGG
rnacentral:rRNA from 1 species